rnacentral:snRNA from 1 species
AGAUGUGAGGGCGAUCUGGCUGUGACUGUCACUCCAUUGAUCUCCAGGGUUGAUUCAGCUGAUCUGGCUGACUAGGUGGGUGUCCCCUUCUUCCCUCACCGCUCCAUGUGCGUCCCUCCUGAAGCUGAGUGCUUGGUCAAAGUGGACGUCCUUCCCCAAAUAGAGACAGACAGGUCUUAGGCGAGGAUAUGUGAGUAGCUGCACUCCCCUGCUAGGACCUCCAAACAAGCUCUCAAAAAUCUGGAAAAGUUCAUCAACACAACGGACAACUCUGUGUGCGUGUGUAUUGCUAC